CUAUAGGUUCUAGGAACGCACACGAGCUUUGUUGACAGUGAACGCUCUCGAGGGAAGGUCAUGAGUGACGUCACGGAUAGCAGCUAGACAAAAGGUCAUGUUCAAGUGUCAUGACUGAAAAUGCGGAACUGGUUUUAAAACUGUAGUUUUUUAAUAGGAAAUACCCCUGAAUGGACAUUCCGUUGGAAUCUACUUCUUAGAAAUAAUGUACCCAUUUAUACCCCUGGUUGAAGAGAAGCAAUUAUAGUAAAGUAUCUUGCUCAAGGACGCAAGUGUCACGACCGGGAUUCAAACCCUCACUCCGGUGACUUGGCAUGAUGAUUUGAGUCAUCAUUUGAACUGAUGGAAAAGAUACAAGCACAAAUAUUGAGCUACUGAGUGAGUAGCUACUGAGAAAGCCGUGUCACCUGCAAAUUUGAAGAUCUUUGUCGGAUAUUUCGAUGACAUCUUGGUCGGCACCAUAACGAGUCCGAUAAAACGUUGCCUGCUCCGUCA